rnacentral:sRNA from 12 species
UCUGCAUAAAUUUGUAUCUAACCAAGAGAUUCGAGCAAAUCACUUUGUGGAAAUUUAAAUUAGUAACAAUAAUUUGAAAUUGCUAAAGAUUUACAUAUAAAUGAAAUUUCAAAUUAUUUGGAUAACCGUAUGUCCUUUAGCAUUUUAUGCUAUAAAAAUAAUUUUGCAUAGCUUUGUAUAAGUCCUCUGUACCCUCAAUCACUUUGUGAUUGCAGUUUGCAAAUUACGGUAUU